GAUGAGAACGCAGCGAAAUGCGAUAAGUAGUGUGAAUUGCAGAAUUCAGUGAAUCAUCGAAUCUUUGAACGCACAUUGCGCCCCUUGGUAUUCCAUGGGGCAUGCCUGUUCGAGCGUCAUUUGUACCCUCAAGCUUUGCUUGGUGUUGGGUGUUUGUCCCGCGUUGCGCGUGGACUCGCCUUAAAGCGAUUGGCAGCCGGCAUAUUGGCCUUGGAGCGCAGCACAUUUUGCGCUUCUAGUCAUGAAUGUUGGCGUCCAUUAAGCCUAUACAUUUGCUCUUGACCUCGGAUCAGGUAGGGAUACCCGCUGAACUUAAGCAUAUCAAUAAGCGGAGGA
rnacentral:misc_RNA from 1 species